rnacentral:lncRNA from 1 species
UAGUCCUGGAAUAUUUUGGCAGAAAAUAUUUUUUAUUCUUGAUGUUGGACUGUAACAGUAUGAAACCUGAAAUGACCAAAUUUCACAAGACCAGAAGCAUCCACUCUCCUGAUAUCAUCUAAAACAUAAACCCUAAUGUACACAAACUUGUUCGGAAAAGCUUGAAAAUCACUAUUCUAGUCCCAAAGGUGUAAGGUAAAUUGUCUAAAGGCUUAAGGGUUGCUUGGAAUGAUUUUUGUCCCACAAAAAGGGGUUUACGGCCCAAGAAGGGUUCUUGGCCGUAAACUCCUAGAAACUUAUGGUUUUUAUGGGCUUUUGAUGUUCUAAACAAGCACAAGUACUAGUAGUUAAAGUCCUUAAGCAUUUGGGGAAAGUUUUAGGGCAUUUAAGCCCUUGAAAAGGGGUUUACGGCCCAAGGGAGUUCCUUGGCCGUAAACUCCUAGAACUUGUGUUUCUGGGAUGCUUUUUGGCCUAUAAAGAUCAUAUCCUAACUCCUAAACAAGUUGUCUAACAAGGAAUCGGGACUAGGAAGUCAUAAUGUUCCAUUUUGGAGUUUACUCCCCAAGAACGUUCUUGGGUGGUAAACUCCCGGAUCUUGAUAUCUAGACAUGCAAUUGAUGUUAGUAAACACCUAACAAGUAUUGAAUCACAUAUAGAAAAGUAGACUCACAAUCUGGGAUGAAAACCCGAAGAUCCGUCAGAGAGAAUAUGGCUUUUCUCUAAUUGGAAUUGUGAAUAAUGAAUUAAUUUCAUUCAGAAACUAUUUAUAGUCCUGGAAUAUUUUGGCAGAAAAUAUUUUUUAUUCUUGAUGUUGGACUGUAACAGUAUGAAACCUGAAAUGACCAAAUUUCACAAGACCAGAAGCAUCCACUCUCCUGAUAUCAUCUAAAACAUAAACCCUAAUGUACACAAACUUGUUCGGAAAAGCUUGAAAAUCACUGAAACUGAACUAGCUUCUAUUGAAUAGAUGAUGUUCGUACAAAUGGAAAUUUCGGGUUGUCACAU